rnacentral:ncRNA from 1 species
AAGGCGUUCAAGGGGUUCUCAAAUAAAACGAAAAAGUAAAAACCAGGGUUCAACCCUGGACAGGCGGUGGAAACUACCAAGCCGGAGUACGGUAGGGGCAGAGGGAAUUUCCGAUGGAGCGGUGAAAUGUAUUGAUGUAUUGAGAUCGGAAAGAACACCAACGGCGAAAGCACUCUGCUGCGCCGACACUGACACUGAGAGAUGAAAGAUAGGGGAGCAAAUGGGAUUAGAGACCCCAGUAGUCCUAGCCAUAAACGAUGGAUACUAGGUGCUGGGCGACUCGACCCGUGCAGUGCUGUAGCUAUCGCGUUAAACAUCCU